GCUGAGGCUCAUCUUGUAAUCAGCACUGGCUUAGCUCCAGCCCAGGGGCAAGCUGCCCAGUUGCCAUGGCACUCUGAAAUAACAUAAGGGUAUGCUGUAGAUGGCUGGCAAACUAGAUCAAUCUGAGCCUGAGGAUUCAGUGGCAGAAAGAUUCUGAAUAUCCCUCACCCAUGUUGGGCAAUUGUAAAGAUGAAUUAACAACCUUAUAAGUUGAUCAUUAUUUGAACUCUCAUUGGCUGUUUCUUUAUUUGGCUCUCACUUCAUAUACUACUACUUUGCCUCUGUGUGAUUUGCAGGUUGUUGGAGAUCUUAUGGUGAGGAUCCAGCGCAUACCAGAUUUCACUCCCAAACUUCUGCUGGUCAGAAAGCGUCUGCUUGGAUUGGAGCCUGAAGGGCCCAUGUAAGUAAAUACAUCACAAAUCCUCCACACAAGCCUUUUUUGUGUCCGGAUUCUCCUUAGCUCCUGUUGUUUUUUUCUUUCUCAGUAUUGACCACAUGACGUUGCUGGAGGGCGUGAUUGUACUGGAAGAGUUCUGUAAAGAGCUAGCAGCGAUUGCAUUUGUGAAAUACCAUGCCUCAUCUACACCCUAAGCAGCCACUUGAAGUGACUGGGCUACAAAAUCGAGUGUGUUUCAGUCAAAAAAGACUAUUGACUUCACCAAACAAGAAGAGAGAGAGAGCCUCCUAACAAAGAGUUGAUGUAAUUUGACAGUUGUUAUGGAUGGCAGUGGAGGAUGAGUUCUUGGCCACUGUUCAUGAUUUCCUGGCGCACUCUGCACUCUGAUGGAGAUAUAAUCAAAUGGACAUUGAACCCAGGAUGCAAUCAGAGAGACUUCAGGGCAGACAAAACAACAUUUCCAGUCACUGUUUGAAGAACUGAAAAAAAUGUCUGAAGAGCCACAAACUUCAGAACUUUGGUUACCAGGCCAUUGUUUUAACAACAUUUUAGGGGGAUCCCUCCACAAAGCAACACGGGGUCACUGUUCCUGUGACAACAUACCAAGAACAAUAGCUAUUCCUAAGGAGAUAGCGAGAAGGUGGGAACCAGGAGAAGAGCUCCGUGUAGCUCAAAAGCUUGUCCCUUCCACCAACAGAAGCUGGUGCAAUAAAAAAUAUUACAUCACCCUCCUUGUUUCUCUACUGGUAACCAUUAUUAGUAGGGCCCUACCAAAUUCACGGCCAUGAGAAACAUGUCACGGACUAUGAAAUCUAGUCUUCGCCUAGGGUUAUCAGAUGUCCCGAUUUUAUAGGGACAGUUCCGAUUUUGGUGUCUUUUUCUUAUAUAGGCUUCUAUUACCCCCCACCCUAUCCCGAUUUUUCACACUUGUCUGGUCACCCUAUCUCCACCCAUGAAAUCUGGUCUUUUGUGUGCUUUUACCCUAUACUAUACAGAUUUGACGGGGAGACCAAAUUUCUCAAAAGAGUUGCAAGGUUAUUUUAGGGGGCUUACCGUAUUGCCACCCUUACUUCUGCGCUGCCUUCCGAGCUGGACAGCCGGAGAGCGGUGGCUGUUGGCCGGGUGCCCAGUUCUGAAGACAGCACCACGCCAACAGUAGUGCAGAAGUAAGGGUGGAAAUACCGUACCAUACCAUCCUUCCUUCUGCGCUGCUGCCUUCAGAGCUGGGCAGCCGGAGAGUGGUGGCUGCUGACUGAUACCAUACCAUGCCCUCCUUACUUCUGCGCUGCUGCUGGCAGUGGCUCUGCCUUCAGAGCUGGGCUCCCAGCCAGCAGCCGCCGCUCUCCAGCUAGCCAGCUCUGAAGGCAGCACUGCCGCCUGCAGCAGCGCAGNCUGCUGCCUGCAGCAGCGCAGAAGUAAGGGUAGCAGUACAGCAACCCCCCUGCAAUAACCUUGUGACCCCCUCAACUCCUUUUUUGGGUCAGGACCCCUACAGUUACAACACCAUGCCAUUUCAGAUAUAAAUGUCAUGAUUUGAGCUAAGAUUUUUUAAAUCCUAUGGCCAUGAAAUUGACCAAAAUGGACCAUGAAUUUGAUGGGGUUCUAGUUAUAAGUUGCCCACACAGCACUUCCCAUGCAAGCCUUUACCUUUAUUCUUAAAUUAAAAAGCAUUACACAGAAAACAUGAAAAACAAUAAAAGAACCUACAUUCAUGCA
ensembl:lncRNA